rnacentral:rRNA from 1 species
GAGUUUGAUCCUGGCUCAGGAUGAACGCUAGCGGCAAGCUUAAUACAUGCAAGUCGAGGGGCAGCAUGAAGUAGCAAUACUUUGAUGGCGACCGGCAAACGGGUGCGGAACACGUACACAACCUUCCUUUUAGUGGGGAAUAGCCCAGAGAAAUUUGGAUUAAUACCCCGUAACAUGACCGAGUGGCAUCACUUGGUUAUUAUAGCUUCGGCGCUAAAUGAUGGGUGUGCGUAUGAUUAGAUAGUUGGCGAGGUAACGGCUCACCAAGUCUACGAUCAUUAGCUGAUGUGAGAGCAUGAUCAGCCACACGGGCACUGAGACACGGGCCCGACUCCUACGGGAGGCAGCAGUAAGGAAUAUUGGUCAAUGGACGCAAGUCUGAACCAGCUAUGCCGCGUGAAGGAUUAAGGUCCUCUGGAUUGUAAACUUCUCUUAUCUGGGACGAAAAAAGGUCUUUCUAGACCCCUUGACGGUACCAGAUGAAUAAGCACCGGCUAACUCCGUGCCAGCAGCCGCGGUAAUACGGAGGGUGCAAGCGUUAUCCGGAUUCACUGGGUUUAAAGGGUGCGUAGGCGGGUAGGUAAGUCAGUGGUGAAAUCCUGGAGCUCAACUCCAGAACUGCCAUUGAUACUAUCUAUCUUGAAUAUUGUGGAGGUAAGCGGAAUAUGUCAUGUAGCGGUGAAAUGCUUAGAUAUGACAUAGAACACCCAUUGCGAAGGCAGCUUACUACGCAUAUAUUGACGCUGAGGCACGAAAGCGUGGGGAUCAAACAGGAUUAGAUACCCUGGUAGUCCACGCCCUAAACGAUGGAUACUCGACAUACGCGAUACACUGUGUGUGUCUGAGCGAAAGCAUUAAGUAUCCCACCUGGGAAGUACGUUCGCAAGAAUGAAACUCAAAGGAAUUGGCGGGGGUCCGCACAAGCGGUGGAGUAUGUGGUUUAAUUCGAUGCAACGCGAAGAACCUUACCUGGCCUUGACAUGCUUAGUUCAGGCGUAGAAACACGCCGGCCCGCAAGGGCGAUUUGCACAGGUGCUGCAUGGCUGUCGUCAGCUCGUGUCGUGAGAUGUUGGGUUAAGUCCCGCAACGAGCGCAACCCAA